rnacentral:tRNA from 1 species
GGGACCAUAGUUCAGACCGGGAGAACACAUGGCUGAAGACCAUGACGUCCGGGGUUCAAAAGGCAAGUAUCCUAGGCGAGAUUCCCUAGUGAGAUAUUCUUUAAGAAGUCUUACGGCGAGAAGCAAAAUAGGAUAUUUUUAUGAAAUUCCCCGUGGUCCCA